rnacentral:misc_RNA from 1 species
GCAAACUUGGUCAUUUAGAGGAAGUAAAAGUCGUAACAAGGUUUCCGUAGGUGAACCUGCGGAAGGAUCAUUAUUGAAUAAACUCGAUGGGUUUGUAGCUGGUCUUUUAGGACAUGUGCACAACUUGUCUUGUUUUCAUUCAUCCACCUGUGCACUUUUGUAGUCUUCUUGAGAGCUUUGAGAAACCUGAUUUCAAUCGGUCAACAGGCUUGGCCGGAUGUGAGGUCUGCACAUUGGUUGCUCUCCUCUACAUCGUCAGUCUCUUUCUUUUGAAGAACUAUGUAUCUUAUCACACACAUAGCAGGUUGUCAGAAUGUAAUUCAUUGACUAGUCAGUCAAUAAAAUGUUAUACAACUUUCAGCAACGGAUCUCUUGGCUCUCGCAUCGAUGAAGAACGCAGC